rnacentral:misc_RNA from 1 species
UUGAUUGGCCGACACAUCUGGUCAAGUUUUUAUCACAGCAGGUACUUAUUGUCCUUACUAUAUGUUUCUUCUUUUUAAAUUAAUUCAUUAAGCGUGCCUCAAAUUAGGCUAUUUAACUUUUUUUUCAUGAACAGUUAGCUGUGUCUCCGGCAAAACCACCUCCAAAGCCUGAUCCGGAGGUCGAUGAUCCGCUUUAUCUAAUGACAUUGACCAUCCCAGAGCAUUUCUUGAGGCCUUAUCAGGUUAGAUGGGAUGCCACCGUGUU